rnacentral:tRNA from 1 species
AGGGAUAUAGCUCAGUGGUAGACUACUUGCCUCACAUGUGCAAGACCCUGGGUUCAAUCUCCAAUACUG